UUUUUAUGUGUCUGCUCUUCUGUCAUAUUUAAUAUUUGCAACCAUCUCGUCUAUAGGUUUGAUUAAAUUAAAUUGUUAAAUAAGGUAACUAAACUUUAUAGUAUCUACUUAGGUACAUAUGUCUUCAAAUGAAAGUGGAAAAAUAUAAUUUACCUGCAGGUGGCGGAGCUUCCAACGGCACAUCAACGAAGAAACGGGAAAUUUCAUAACGGAAGUUGCACCUAGGCCCAAUUAUUCUUCCACCCGUCUUUCCCAGGCAAGGACAUUGAGGCAUGGUUCCAUAAGCGUCAGUUAAGCAAUUGAAGCAAUUCAGGGGAGAUAAAUCAGGAGUACACUGCACAAGUGCAUAUAUAGUCUGAUCAUCUGGACCUGUCACAUUACCACUAGCAUAUUUUCGAAAGGGACCACCAUUUACAGCACGGUCUCGUAAAUUUUCCAGUAAUUUACCCAGUUCCUGGUUAAAUUCCUCGGGUUUUGAGGCAUUCGCUGGAUUCCAAAGAAAGUAUCGUAUAGACAACGAUUGAGUAUUUAUAAUGGAUUGAUUCGAGUAAUGCAACAAGCAUCCAUCAUAGCCACCAAUAACUUCUUUUUGGGUAGGACAUAACUGUACAAGUUUUUGAGCAGCGUUAUGGACACAACUGCGACAAUCGUCUAGCUCCACAUCUCCUCUACAUAGCACAAUACCACUGACCUGGUCGGUGUUUUGGCCAAUGGAAUCAUAGUAGAAACCAUAGUUAUCUAUUUUUGAGGAAAGGGAAGUGAGGAGUGUGUUUAGAUUGUUCUUGUAGGUACUAUUCUCAGUAUAGUUACCAUUCCUACCACAUGAACCGUAUCGUAAAUCAGGCACCUGCGCUACAAUAUUGAGAACAUGUAUAUACAAAAACAGAAAGAGUAGCACCUCCUGAAUACCCAUGGUCAUGGUUGUCUAAGUUGCAUUUCCAUCUCUAGAAGCUUAGAUAUUUUGAGAUCAAAGGUAAAAUGAGUUGGCUUUUAUUUUUUCUUUUGGUUUACAAAAAGAUGCGUCACGUCAUUAAAGGUAGUCCUACCUAAUACUCAUCCGUCCAACAAUAAUUGUCCACUAUUAAUUUGGGACAGAAAUUAAGAAACAGUAAAUCAUGAUAUGAAUAAUUUUACCAAAUCACCUAUAUUAAAUAUAAGUCAUUUAAAUAUUAAAAAAUGAACAACAUUUAAAAGUAAAGAUAAAAUAGACACAAAAAAUAAAUUAUUCAUAAACUUUAUAAACUAAACCAGUACUGUUACACAUAUAUCACUUUCUGCAAAAGAUAAAACUUCUGAUGACUUGGUCUGUAUCUUUGUACUUGCCAAAUUUUUCUCGUUAGAAUUUAUGAAAUUCGUACUCUAAUUUAUGGAGAUAAUGGGAAUUGGGACAGGAGUGGAUACCAAGACGCCACCAAGGUUGCAAAUUUUGACCGCCACUUGCUCAUCAACUUUAUAUGAUUACUCCAGAAAAUGAAGUCCAACUAAUUUUCUACAAGUACCAUAUUUUCCUUUUUUUCCUAGUCUUUUAAAUUUUAAUCCACAAUGAUUUCUUUAGAAUUUUGGCUUUCCAGAUUCCUUGUACUGCAGUUAUCUUUAUAUCUUGACUGAUUCAUAGUGAUUAAUUCACAAAGCAAUUUGUACUUCUGUAGGUAUUUGGACAUAAUAUAAAUAGCUGAUAUUUUUUCAACGUGCUUGAAGUGAAUGACUUGUUUGGUAAAUUUCUAGAAUCAAUUGUUUUUUUUCAAAAAAAAAAAAAUAAUAAUUUAAAAGUGUUUUCAUAAAAAAGUAAUUUUGAUAAGAAGACAAAAAUCACGUUUGAACAAUAAUUAAUGUUUAACCAAACUUUUAUAUGUGUUUUAUGUAUACUAGUUCUAAAAACGUGUGUUGCACGUUUAUCCCAAAUUACUUCAUAUAAAUUUUAUAUUGCAAAUGACAUAUUUUAUCCCCUUCAAAUCUAUUGGUAUUUACAAAAAAAAAAAAAAAUCAUCCUUUUUUCUAAACUAAAGAUCAAAAGCUGAACCAAGCUCAUUGAUGUAAAGAUUCAAUGUUUUCUGAAUUUUGACCUCUGACUGAGUAAAUACAAUGAGGAACUUCCUAAACAUCUCAAGUAUCUCAUUAUCAGACCAUUAAAAACUCUUGAAAAUUCCAUUUUUUCUGUUCACGGUAGAUUUUUUUCCGAGGCUGAUGUAUGGAAUUCAUAAGGGAACAUAGGAGAGGUGAGCGGAACUCGCUCUCUACCCUAUGCAAAAUUUAUAUUAAAGAACGAAUGAAAGCAUUAAGACUGACCACUUAAAAACCAUUUGUAUCUUUGUAGAUGAAGUUGGAGUAUAUAUAAUUUUAUCGAUGGAAACUCUUCAGAUUCUUUAACUUAAAAUUAAAUAAGAGGAGUUGUUUUGAAAUGCUCGGACUUCAACUUACUUCAAGGUAUUUCAUUCCCUGUUGGAGCCGUUUCAUUACCAUUCCCCAUUGGAGCUGUUUUAUCAUCAUUUCCUUAAGAAAAUGCUUCAAGUUAGUAUAAAAUUCUCGGUUUUUAACAACUCAUGUGAAAAUAAGUUACUAUCUUCCCUUUUCAGGUUAUUUCAGAAACUAUAGAUACUUAUUAAAUAUCACAAAUACAAUAUUGUUAUACCUCUAAUUUAAUGUGCUCGUCUUAAACACAAAUCAAAAUUUUGUGUUAUGAUGGCAAUGAACUGUGUGAUCCUUCCAUCUAAAGUUUUAAGUUAUUAGACGACAAGAACAAUGUAAUGACCCUAAAGGUCAUUUUUUGGAAAUUUUCAUAAAAUGACCGUUUUACCCCUCCCGAUAGUUGCCCCGAGUCCUAAUUGUUGUAUUUCCGAAGUUGGUUUGGAGGAAAAUUGAUGAAAAGUUGAGUUUUUGGAAAGUUGAGUUUUUAAUAAUUGAAAUUUGGUUAAAAGUGCUAUUUCGAGUCAUUUGGAGUUUCGAGACUCGAAUCGGAUUUCCGUCGAUUCCAGCAGUUUUAGAAUGUCGAAACGGGUCUAUGAGAAUUUACGGAGUCGAAUUUGGAGUUAAAACGAAGAUUUGAGGUCCUAAGUUGCUAAAAUUGUGAAAUUUUGAUCAAGAGUUGACUUUGGUCAACAAACGAGGUUCCGGUGCUCGAAAUGGAAUUCCAAGGGCACCGUUGGAUUCAGGGGGUGAUUCUAAGUCUAGAAUGAGUCUUGGUUGAAUUUUUAGAGGCCCCGAGUGCAUUUCGAGUUUUUGAGCCUAAAGUUAGUUUCUUGACGCCUUAUCGGAUACCGGAUCAAGGAGACCUCGAAUUCAAAUUUCGACGAUUUCAUUGACUCCGAAAUGUCAUUUUCAAACUGGUAGCAUAUUUGGUUUGUGUUCGGGAAGUGUCAAAUGAGUUUUGGGUGAGCUUUUAAGCUUCUUGGAUGCUUUGACACUAUUUCAGCAAAUUGUGGCAACUAAAGGGUUCAUUAUUAGUUUUAAAGGUCGAAAUCUUUUCCCAAAGGUUCUGAAAUUUUGAGCAUGAAUUACAGGACUUAUCUGCAAAUUUUGGUGCAUUAUCGCUAAUCCGAGAUUGAACUUUUAUCGCAAAUAAGAAAUAAUUGUUUACCGAGUAGAAAUGAUAUUUGACUGGGCAAACGAGCAUGAAAUUGAGCUCCGAUUGAACGAGCAGGUCCGUAUCAUUAUUUAAGACAUUUACAAAAAAGAAUCGGGUCAUUUCACUAUCGUAUGAGGAAAUUACGGCCUUUUUAGUGAAGGAUUUAACUGCUGUUUUUCUGGUGCAUAACAGUCAUGCACUGUUAUAAAAAUCUCAGACUGUGUUCAUUUGGUAUUUUGAGCAUAUCGGGAGUUCUAGAGAUCGGAAUGGAGUGAUUCUUACGGGUUUCUUCUUGAAUUAAUAUGAGGGUUAGUAUUCAAUCUUAAAUUCGACAUUUUCUCAUAAUUUCUUUAUCUGGUUUUAUUUUCCCUAUCCGUAAACCUCUUGGAAAAAAUUGGGGUUUUAUCGAUUUGGACUCCCUUUUUGAUGAAAAAGGUAUAUUUACGAUCCUUAUGUUAUGGGUAAACUGAUUUUAACAUAAAAUUAUUGAUUCAUCGAUUAUUUUCAUCAUAUUAACCGCGUACAAUUUGGACUUUCCCGGUAAAGUUAAAGUUUGAUAAAUUGAGAAUUUCAAGGUCGAUCUUAACUCCGUUUUUGAUGAAAUUUCAUAUUUGAACUUAUCUAAGCAUGGGUAAGAUGUUUUUCAAGAAAUAUUUCAUUUUCGAGUCGGGGUUUCGGAUCCAAAUAUUUUAGGCUUCUUCAAGAACGUGGAUUUUCCUUCAAAUUGAGUUUGUGAACUCAUUUCAACUCCUUUUUCGAAACGGUUUUCACUAUUGGAUUCUAAAUUUCUUGGGGAACAUUUUUCACUAAAAAUUUCCAGAUUUCGAGAAUAUUUUCCGGAACGAGAUUUUUGACCAUUUUACCCUUGUUCUCCAAAUUUCACGAUAUUGGUGUUGUUAGAUUCGUAUUUAUUGUGGGAUUCCAUUUAUGAAUAGAUUGUGGUGAUUUGGAGCGUGCUCGGAAGGGUAAAACUCAAAUUUGAGUUACUAGUUGAAGUGUUUUGAGGCAAGUGACUUCUAAACUUUGUUAAACUCUUAGACUACGCAUGACUACUUUCCUAAUUGUGUUGGGGAGUAAGGGGGAUUGAGGAUGGGUUUUAUUUGUUGAUUGGAAUUGUUGUAAAUGAAAGAUGGGGAAAUAAAACGAGCUAAAUGUGUUAUAUGUGACUUGAAUUUGUUGAAUAAGUCAUGUGAUAACUCAUAUUGAGGGGAUAGAAGAGCAUGAGUAGGCUAUGAUUGAUACAGACAUUGAUGUUGAAACAGAUGAUGUGUAAUACUAUGAUGUGGUCGUGAUAUGGUUGUGAUUGAAACAGAUGAUGUGUAAUACUAUGAUGUGGUCGUGAUAUGGUUGUGAUUGAAACAGAUGAUGUGUAAUACUAUGAUGUGGUCGUGAUAUGGUUGUGAUUGAAACAGAUGAUGUGUAAUACUAUGAUGUGGUCGUGAUAUGGUUGUGAUUGAAACAGAUGAUGUGUAAUACUAUGAUGUGGUCGUGAUAUGGUUGUGAUUGAAACAGAUGAUGUGUAAUACUAUGAUGUGGUCGUGAUAUGGUUGUGAUUGAAACAGAUGAUGUGUAAUACUAUGAUGUGGUCGUGAUAUGGUUGUGAUUGAAACAGAUGAUGUGUAAUACUAUGAUGUGGUCGUGAUAUGGUUGUGAUUGAAACAGAUGAUGUGUAAUACUAUGAUGUGGUCGUGAUAUGGUUGUGAUUGAAACAGAUGAUGUGUAAUACUAUGAUGUGGUCGUGAUAUGGUUGUGAUUGAGACAGAUGAUGUGUAAUACUAUGAUGUGAUCGUGAUAUGAUUGUGAUUGAUGACAUGUGCAUAUUCAUUAUUCAUCCCAUGUGUGAACUAUCUGUUGCAUGAGUUCUGAGACACUGAUAUGAGGAUGGAUGGAUAUGAGACACAGUUGAAACUAGCUCCGACUAGAGAUAUAUGAGAUGGACUAGCUCCGGCUAGCGAUUUGGAUGCCGAUGGGAUCUGGUUCCGGCGGUGAUACAUGGUCCAUGUGUGGCCCCCAUGGGUUCUGAUUUGAGUAUUCAGCGCGGACUGAUUACGUCAACAGAUGUGUAUCGUAGGACAGACAUGCAUCACGACUACAUGACAUCAUUAUUGCAUUUGCAUCGCAUUUCACUUCAUCUUUGUCUGUGGUGUGUGGAUUUUACCUAUUUGCCCCUCUUCAUGUGAUAUAUGAUCUAUUUGCUCUUAUAUGAGGAUAUGAGGUUGAUUUUGAGACACUGUUGGAUAUAUAUGUUGAUUAUGAAUUGUGUAGUAUUUUUUUUAUAACCAAGUCUUCCGCUUAUUUAUUAUCUCUUAUUCUCGUAUUUCUAUUUCUCUAUCGUUGUGGUUGAGUUAGGCUGACGUGUCCGGUGGGAAAUGGACACGUGCCAUCACAUCCGGAUUUGGGAUGUGACAAACAAUUUCUUCAAUUCCACACAUGUCGGGAAAAAACUUAAAUUAUUGUACUUAGAGAUGACAUAUUUUAUUCACCUUAUUAUGUUUCAAUACAUCGAUUCAUUAUUCAUGUGUAUGUCUAAUUCUUUUUAUGUGUCUGCUCUUCUGUCAUAUUUAAUAUUUGCAACCAUCUCGUCUAUAGGUUUGAUUAAAUUAAAUUGUUAAAUAAGGUAACUAAACUUUAUAGUAUCUACUUAGGUACAUAUGUCUUCAAAUGAAAGUGGAAAAAUAUAAUUUACCUGCAGGUGGCGGAGCUUCCAACGGCACAUCAACGAAGAAACGGGACUUAGGUACACAUGUCUUCAAAUGAAAGUGGAAAAAUAUAAUUUACCUGCAGGUGGCGGAGCUUCCAACGGCACAUCAACGAAGAAACGGGAACUUUCAUAACGGAAGUUGCACCUAGGCCUCUUUCCCAGGCAAGGACAUUGAGGCAUGGUUCCAUAAGCGUCAGUUAAGCAAUUCUGAGGAGAUAAAUCAGGAGUACACUGCACAAGUGGAUAUAUAGUCUGAUAAUCUGGACCUGUCACAUUACCACUAGCAUAUUUUCGAAAGGAACCACGAUUUACAGCACGGUCUCGUAAAUUUUCCAGUAAUUUACCCAGUUCCUGGUUAAAUUCCUCGGGUUUUGAGGCAUUCACAGUAUUCCGAUGAAAAUAUUGAACAGACAACGAUUGAGUAUUUAUAAUGGAUAGAUUCGAGUAAUGCAACAAACAUUCAUCAUAGCCACCAAUAACUUCUUUUUGGGUAGGACAUAACUGUACAAGUUUUUGAGCAGCGUUAUGGAUACAACUGCGACAUUCUUUUAGCUCCACAUCUCCUCUACAUAGCACAAUACCACUGACCUCG
rnacentral:lncRNA from 1 species